AGAGUUUGAUCAUGGCUCAGAACGUACGCUGGCGGCACGCCUAACACAUGCAAGUCGAACGAAGUAGCAAUACUUAGUGGCAGACGGGUGAGUAACAUGUAGGUAUCUGCCCUUUGGCCUGGAAUAACACGAGGAAACUUGUGCUAAUACCGGAUAAGUCUUUACGGAGAAAGCUUUAUGCACCAUUGGAUGAGCCUGCACUUGAUUAGUUUGUUGGUGGGGUAAUGGCCUACCAAGACUGUGAUCAAUAGCUGAUUUGAGAGGAUGAUCAGCCACAUUGGGACUGAGACACGGCCCAAACUCCUACGGGAGGCAGCAGUGGGGAAUCUUGCACAAUGGAGGAAACUCUGAUGCAGCGAUGCCGCGUGAGUGAAGAGGGCCCUUGGGUUGUAAAGCUCUUUCGUCGGGGAAGAAAAUGACUGUACCCGAAUAAGAAGGUCCGGCUAACUUCGUGCCAGCAGCCGCGGUAAUACGAAGGGACCUAGCGUAGUUCGGAAUUACUGGGCUUAAAGAGUUCGUAGGUGGUUGAAAAAGUUAGUGGUGAAAUCCCAGAGCUUAACUCUGGAACUGCCAUUAAAACUUUUCAGCUAGAGUAUGAUAGAGGAAAGCAGAAUUUCUAGUGUAGAGGUGAAAUUCGUAGAUAUUAGAAAGAAUACCAAUUGCGAAGGCAGCUUUCUGGAUCAUUACUGACACUGAGGAACGAAAGCAUGGGUAGCGAAGAGGAUUAGAUACCCUCGUAGUCCAUGCCGUAAACGAUGUGUGUUAGACGUUGGAAAUUUAUUUUCAGUGUCGCAGCGAAAGCGAUAAACACACCGCCUGGGGAGUACGACCGCAAGGUUAAAACUCAAAUGAAUUGACGGGGACCCGCACAAGUAGUGGAGCAUGUGGUUUAAUUCGAAGAUACGCGCAGAACCUUACCAACACUUGACAUGUUCGUCGCGACUCUAAGAGAUUAGAGUUUUCGGUUCGGCCGGACGAAACACAGGUGCUGCAUGGCUGUCGUCAGCUCGUGUCGUGAGAUGUUGGGUUAAGUCCCGCAACGAGCGCAACCCUCACUUUUAGUUGCCAUCAUUAAGUUGGGCACUCUGAAAGAACUGCCAGUGAUAAGCUGGAGGAAGGUGGGGAUGACGUCAAGUCCUCAUGGCCCUUACGUGUUGGGCUACACACGUGCUACAAUGGUAUCUACAACAGGAAGCAAGACUGCGAAGUUAAGCAAAUCCCUAAAAGAUACCUCAGUUCGGAUUGCACUCUGCAACUCGAGUGCAUGAAGCUGGAAUUACUAGUAAUCGUGGAUCAGCGUGCCACGGUGAAU
rnacentral:rRNA from 1 species